ACAUUGAGCGGCAUGAAGUAACACCGCUUUUUUGUGAAUUUGGAUUUGUUAUGUUGAGCUACUAGUUUAGUUGAAAUGGAUCAAAGAGCCGUUUUAGUAAUUCAUAGUUAAGAUGUAUUACAUCAAUUCCCAUCUAGAUAUAAAUAUAGUACAACGAUUUGUAUGGUACAUGUACAUGUAGUGGUGAACUUUGUAAGGUCGAUAAAAGAAGAAAUACAAAAAAGAAAUAGCCGAUACUAUAGGAAUUAUUAUUAUAAGGGCAUGUAAGUCGGCAAAAAUAGGUAAUUUACAUGUAUGCAAAGCCUGUACAAAUUUAUGUAUAAGAUAUGUGAACCAUAGGAAGAAGAAAUAAAUAAUUAAAGACAAUACGAGCAAAUCUCCAAAUUCCAAAUCACAUUUGCCAAACAUCUUUGAAGAAAAGCCAGUCGUCGUCAAACCGCAAGAAACACCACAGCCAACUCUAGUUUAUUAAUUGAACAUUAAAAAAA